UCCUACGGGAGGCAGCAGUGAGGAAUAUUGGUCAAUGGGCGCAAGCCUGAACCAGCCAUCCCGCGUGCAGGAUGACGGCCCUAUGGGUUGUAAACUGCUUUUGUACACCAAGAAAACUCGUGACGUGUCACGAUCUGACGGUAGUGUAUGAAUAAGCAUCGGCUAACUCCGUGCCAGCAGCCGCGGUAAUACGGAGGAUGCAAGCGUUAUCCGGAUUCACUGGGUUUAAAGGGUGCGUAGGAGGACUGGUAAGUCAGUGGUGAAAUCUCCGGGCUUAACUCGGAAACUGCCGUUGAUACUAUCAGUCUUGAAUACCGUGGAGGUGAGCGGAAUAUGUCAUGUAGCGGUGAAAUGCUUAGAUAUGACAUAGAACACCAAUUGCGAGGGCAGCUCACUACACAAAUAUUGACGCUGAGGCACGAAAGCGUGGGGAUCAAACAGGAUUAGAUACCCUGGUAGUCCACGCCCUAAACGAUGAUUACUCGACAUACGUGAUACACAAUGUGUGUCUGAGCGAAAGCAUUAAGUAAUCCACCUGGGAAGUACGAUCGCAAGAUUGAAACUCAAAGGAAUUGACGGA
rnacentral:rRNA from 1 species